rnacentral:lncRNA from 1 species
GCAGACAUUCCUGCACAUGUGGCAAGGUGCACACGUGCUGGAAGUAUGUCACGUGUGUGGCAUGUGUCGUCUCUUGCUUUUUCGAUCCAAACUGUUUAUUAUGGGUCCUUCUUUGGGCUUCAACAGUAAGCUUGUUGUUUACCCAUUCUUGAUCCAAUAGGUUGAAAAUAUUCUAAAAUUGGUUGGCCUAGCUCCAGGUAAUCGGUCUUAGGAGUAUUUGAAUUUUACU